rnacentral:rRNA from 1 species
ACGAACGCUGGCGGCAUGCCUAACACCUGCCAGUCGAACGAGACCUUCGGGUCUAGUGGCGCACGGGUGCGUAACGCGUGGGAAUCUGCCCUUGGGUUCGGAAUAACUCGCCGAAAGGCGUGCUAAUACCGGAUGAUGACGUAAGUCCAAAGAUUUAUCGCCCAAGGAUGAGCCCGCGUUGGAUUAGCCAGUUGGUGAGGUAAAGGCUCACCAAGGCGACGAUCCAUAGCUGGUCUGAGAGGAUGAUCAGCCACACUGGGACUGAGACACGGCCCAGACUCCUACGGGAGGCAGCAGUGGGGAAUAUUGGACAAUGGGCGAAAGCCUGAUCCAGCAAUGCCGCGUGAGUGAUGAAGGCCUUAGGGUUGUAAAGCUCUUUUACCCGGGAUGAUAAUGACCGUACCGGGAGAAUAAGCUCCGGCUAACUCCGUG